rnacentral:rRNA from 1 species
AAUCAACGCUGGCGGCGUGCCUCAGACAUGCAAGUCGAACGAUUAAAGCUCUCUUCGGAGAGUGUAUAGAGUGGCGCACGGGUGAGUAACACGUAAGUAAUCUACCCUCGAGUGGGGAAUAACGUCCGGAAACGGACGCUAAUACCGCAUAAUGCAGCGGCACCGCAAGGUGACAGUUGUUAAAGAUUUAUCGCUUGAGGAGGAGCUUGCGGCAGAUUAGCUAGUUGGUAAGGUAAUGGCUUACCAAGGCUACGAUCUGUAACCGGUCUAAGAGGACGGUCGGUCACACUGACACUGAAUAACGGGUCAGACU